UAGGGAAUCUUCCGCAAUGGACGCAAGUCUGACGGAGCAACGCCGCGUGAGUGAAGAAGGAUUUCGGUUCGUAAAACUCUGUUGUUAGAGAAGAACAGCGCAUAGAGUAACUGUUAUGCGUGUGACGGUAUCUAACCAGAAAGCCACGGCUAACUACGUGCCAGCAGCCGCGGUAAUACGUAGGUGGCAAGCGUUGUCCGGAUUUAUUGGGCGUAAAGCGAGCGCAGGCGGUUAGAUAAGUCUGAAGUUAAAGGCAGUGGCUCAACCAUUGUAGGCUUUGGAAACUGUUUAACUUGAGUGCAGAAGGGGAGAGUGGAAUUCCAUGUGUAGCGGUGAAAUGCGUAGAUAUAUGGAGGAACACCGGUGGCGAAGGCGACUUUCUGGACACAAACUGACGCUGAGGUACGAAAGCGUGGGGAGCAAACAGG
rnacentral:rRNA from 1 species